rnacentral:rRNA from 1 species
CAAUAGCGUAUAUUAAAGUUGUUGCGGUUAAAAAGCUCGUAGUUGGAUUUCGGCGGACAGGGGGCGGUUCGAUAUUUGUCGCUACUGCCCCAUUUGUCCGUGUUUUUGGCGGAGGUUUCAGGGUGCUCUUCACCGAGUGUCCUGGGAUGCCGUUAGGUUUACUUUGAAAAAAUUAGAGUGCUCAAAGCAGGCUUUACACGCUUGAAUAUUCGUGCAUGGAAUAAUGGAAUAGGACGUCGUUUCUAUUUUGUUGGUUUUCGGAAAUCGACGUAAUGAUUAACAGGGACAGUCGGGGGCAUUAGUAUUCAGACGACAGAGGUGAAAUUCUUGGACCGUCUGAAGACUAACUACUGCGAAAGCAUUUGCCAAGAAUGUUUUCAUUAA